rnacentral:misc_RNA from 1 species
AAGUCGUAACAAGGUUUCCGUAGGUGAACCUGCGGAAGGAUCAUUAUUGAAUAAAUCUGGCGUGAGGUUGUAGCUGGCUCUCUGGAGCAUGUGCACACCUUCGUCACCUUUAUCUUUCCACCUGUGCACACACUGUAGUCCUGGAUACCUCUCGCCGCAAGGCGGAUGCAGAGCUUGCUGUGACUUUGGCAACAAAGACCAGUCUUGCUCUGAAUUUCCAGGGUCUACGAUCUUUACACACCCCUAAACGAAUGUCAUAGAAUGUAUAUCACUGGGCCUUUGUGCCUAUAAACCUUAUACAACUUUCAACAACGGAUCUCUUGGCUCUC